AGAGCAAGGAGUCGAGUCUUCGUUUUACAUUUUAAGCGGUCGCGUGGAUCCUUAAGUUUUCGGUAGGAAAAUGUGUUUCUUUUGCCUAGUGGAGACUGCAGCCGACGACAAGCGGACGGCAGAAUAACCGAGGGCAAAAUGGGAAAUUCUUUUCUCUGGUUUUGCCAAUGAGAGACAUUGACGAGGAAAAUCACCGGGUCAACAGGAUCACUGCUUUGUUUUUGCAGCAAACUUUUUUUCCGCGCUCGAACAUACCGGUCUGGCACUUGUCGCCACUUGUUUUUACAAAUUUCCUAAUUAAUAUUCAGGAUGUUUGAAAUCUCUUGCCAACUAUUAUUACAUGCUAUUUUGUCACUGUGAAGAGGUUCUGUCACGUCGUAUAAAUUAAGGUAUUUGCGGACUUGCUUAAUCAAAAGGUCCUCAAACGUGAACAUCUUGACUGAGUGCAGCUCUUGCAACACUGCCCCCUAUAAAUUACGCAGGUAUUGCAUAUCCCUAUACGUUUCGUUAAACAAAAACCGACGCAAAGAACGCAGGAUACAGACCGCGGCUGUACCCUGUAAACAGAAAGAGGACUCCCCUGCUGUACAGUCAUCCUCCAGAAUCGCCGCCCAUUUUCACAGACUGGUCAUUGUAUGCUAAACAACUGAGUUCUUUUGGGAAAUCGACAACUCAUUCCUUUGAACUUGUUUUCCCUCACAAUUCAGGAAUAGGCUACGUGAAAAGUUUGGACCUUCUCAUUCUACAUAUGCUUGUUGGAUGGGGAUCUGAUGACGAUUGGUGAGACCCCUGCUCCAUCCAUCACUCAUUGCUGGACCCUCUUUGUGACAAAGUCACUUCCAAUGCACACACCGUCAACCCACCAUCACCAGCCCCAACUGAUGGCCCACAGCAGGGCAGGACUGACCCA